rnacentral:lncRNA from 1 species
GGUGUCUCUGUGAGAAUCUCAUCCUGCUCGGCCUGAGGUAUCUGCUCAUCUCGGGGUAGCUCUGGAGGUGCAGGCACAGCUGGGGCUCCCUGGGGUGCAAAAUAGGCUACCAAGUGAUGCCAUUUGUCGAGAGAGAAGUCCUCUCGGCAAUGGCGGCGCCUCUCAAGACGGGGCUCUUCAGGAUAGCCCAAGUGCUCUAAAAUCU